UGGGGAAUUUUGGACAAUGGGGGAAACCCUGAUCCAGCCAUCCCGCGUGUGCGAUGAAGGCCUUCGGGUUGUAAAGCACUUUUGGCAGGAAAGAAACGUCAUGGGUUAAUACCCCGUGAAACUGACGGUACCUGCAGAAUAAGCACCGGCUAACUACGUGCCAGCAGCCGCGGUAAUACGUAGGGUGCAAGCGUUAAUCGGAAUUACUGGGCGUAAAGCGUGCGCAGGCGGUUCGGAAAGAAAGAUGUGGAAUCCCAGAGCUCAACUUUGGAACUGCAUUUUUAACUACCGGGCUAGUGUGUGUAAGAGGGAGGUGGAAUUACGCGGGUAGCAGUGAAAUGAGUAGAUAUGCGGAGGAACACCGAUGGCGAAGGCAGCCUCCUGGGAUAACACUGACGCUACUGCACGAAAGCGUGGGGAGCAAACAGG
rnacentral:rRNA from 1 species